CCUCCACGUUGGACGCCACCUCUACGCGGUGUGGGGGAGGCAACUCACCCGCUGUGGGUGAGGCGAAGCGCGCCU
rnacentral:ribozyme from 1 species